UAGCAGUGCGGGAACGCAGUGCCGGAACGCACUGCUAAUUUUUGUUUACAAAACCUAAAUUCUCUAUUUUUUUUUUCUUUUCUUAACCAGUGCGGGAACGGCGUUCCCACACCAUGACACCACUGUUUUGGAUGCAUUUGGAUUUCGUUUCCUGUUUUUGUGAACUUUAUAAACUUUACCACAAUGCAAACUGAUUAUUUAAGGAAAUUAUUAUUGGAAACUCCAGAUGUUGCGAGAAAGAUAUUUAUUGAAGCUGAAAAUAAUUGGGAAUUUAGAUCCAUACGCAAUUCAGUCAGAAUUGGAUUUUACAGUAAAGUGCAGACCAUCAAGUUACUAUUAUAGAUAUUUAUACAUAUCUGGUGGAAUCUCGCAGUUGCUACUCUAAGCAGCAGAUGAAAGCAUACAAAAGCCUUCAGGCACAUAAAUAUUUUACAGCUGGAUUUGUUUUGAAUGGAGUAAAAAUUGUUAAUGAUUUCCUGAUUUUCAUAUUAUUGUUGGAAAGGUGAAGCAUUUCCAAAAAUCUAAUGCUAAAUGACUAAAUGCUUGGGUGGGGUGAUAGCCAGUUCUGAUGACAUAGCAAAUGCAGAUUGUAUGUGUAUGGCCGGUAAUAGUGAAGUCUGCAGCAAUCCUAUUUUUAGCUGAGUAUGGCCAGGGCAAGAAAGACGAAGAAGAACCCAAUGCAUGUACAUAUGUUACAGCUACAUGGUUUGGAGAUAGCAACAUAUGCAUUCUCUGAUGAAAAACUAAUGAGUUUUGAAACUGUUUGGUCAGAGUGCUUCUUGUGCUCACUAAACGAACUGAAAUAUAAGAUGGCUUUGGCAUUGUGUUGCAGCGAUAUGAAAAUGGUUAUUCAUUUUUAAUUAUAAUGUACUUCUUCAUCAUAAGUAAUUAUGUAUUGGUCUUUUAAAUGUGUAUUUAUUUUUGUAAUUAGUAUCAACUUGUAAUGAUAAUAUACAUUUAUCGUUUAAGGUAUGACUAUGUUUUGACUCUAAAAUAAAUGAUUUAAAAAUCGAA